AUGCGGCUCCCCCAGCCCUUGCACGGCUGUUUGACCAGAGUGCUACAGGUAUUUCCAGCCCCCCACCCCAGGAAUGCGCUCGCCCCCCCCUCUGCAGCCGGACACGCCGAGCGAGUGCCCGCGGGCUUGCUCCAGCCUGUUCCUGGCCGCUGCCGAGGGCUCCCCUACAACUCAUUAACUACUCAAGAGCGCGGCGCGCAGCGGGUGCUGGCAGCCUGUGCCGCAUCAGAGCCCCCCCCCACUCCAGUACCCAGGACCCCAAAGGCAGGGGGCCCUGACCCAGCUGUUUCCCGCAGCACCCCGACACCCCCAGUCUGGCUGGGUCAGCUUCUGCCACCCCACGGCACCCCAGUGCCCUGUGCCUGGGUGCCUCUGGCACCGUGCUGUGCCGUGGCACCCUGUGCCUGGCCUCCACCACCCCGUGGCACCCUGACACCCCUUAUGCAGCAGGGUCAGCCUGCCGCCCCACGGCACCCCACGGCGGGCUGGGGUUGGUGGCCGGGCCGGGUACCCGGGGCACUGGGGGGGUUCUGUGCAAGCAGCAGGCAAGGGGGCUUGCACCUGGUGAGGUGCUGCUGGGGGCGCCCAGCCCUCGGGGUGACAAAGCACGGCACAGACGGGCAUGUCCCCGGGCAGGUGGCAGUGGUGACAGGGCUGGGGCACCCCGGGGACACACAGCCGGGUGCUGGCAGUGCAAAACCUCUGCCGGCUGCGGCCCCGGCGUGCAGGGGUGCACAGGUGCAGGCUGCACGGGGGCCAAUGUGCACACACCCAAACACACGCACCCCCUGCUGGCUGGGAUGCACAGACACACGGCUGCACAGACAGACGGACACACAGAGGCAGACAGACAGACACAGGCAGACAAAGGCGCACACACACACACACAGAGGGCCACACGGACAGACGGACGGACUCAGAGGUACACAAGCACACGCGCAGACAGGCACGCACAGGUACACACACACACAGAGGUGCGGACAGACAGACACACAGGUACGCACACACAGACACAUACAGGGACAGAAUCCCAAACACACCAACACUCAGAUGUGCUCACACGGGUGCUUGCACACCUGUGCACACACACAGCCACCCUCACAAGUGCGCACACCCACAGGGGAACGUGCCCCGGACGCAGCCCUGCGUGCACGCGCCAGGCUGCGCAGGCACAACGGGGAGCAAAAGCACUCACAGACAGGUGCACGCACACACACACACACAUGCGCAUGCCGGCGGCGUGCGUGCGCAGACGAGCACCCAGCGGUGCACGCGCGGCUGCGCAGGUGCAGGGGAAACACCUAG
rnacentral:lncRNA from 1 species